UACGAAGGGUGCUAGCGUUGCUCGGAAUCACUGGGCGUAAAGCGCACGUAGGCGGCUUUCUAAGUCAGGGGUGAAAUCCUGGAGCUCAACUCCAGAACUGCCUUUGAUACUGGAGAGCUUGAGUCCGGAAGAGGUGAGUGGAACUGCGAGUGUAGAGGUGAAAUUCGUAGAUAUUCGCAAGAACACCAGUGGCGAAGGCGGCUCACUGGUCCGGUACUGACGCUGAGGUGCGAAAGCGUGGGGAGCAAACAGG
rnacentral:rRNA from 1 species